GGGGUCGACCGGAAUUGACAGGAUAGCGAUGGUUAUGUAAGCAUGCAGUGCAUUGUUAGUCUAGCACUAUAAUCUGAACUUUCAACUUUACAACUGGCGAAGAAAACUACGCCUUAGCUGCUUAAGUUAGACUUAACAUAGCUAUUUGUCUCGUUAGACUCCGUUCUACCGUCUAACAUCAGAGGCAUCGAACUGUAGAACUGGUUCAUGUGAUGUUGCUAAGCACGAAUAAGAUCCAGCAAAUAAGGAAUAAGGUAUAGGUAAGCGACUCACCUUCCAGAUUCCCGACAAUUAAAGAGAAGCUAAGCAUGUAGAAAGCGUAGAUCAUACUAUGUUUGGACGAGGGUUCGAAUCCCUCCGGCUCCACAC
rnacentral:tmRNA from 1 species